GGCUAUACAUGCAAGGUCGAGCGAACUGAUUAGAAGCUUGCUUCUAUGACGUUAGCGGCGGACGGGUGAGUAACACGUGGGCAACCUGCCUGUAAGACUGGGAUAACUUCGGGAAACCGAAGCUAAUACCGGAUAGGAUCUUCUCCUUCAUGGGAGAUGAUUGAAAGAUGGUUUCGGCUAUCACUUACAGAUGGGCCCGCGGUGCAUUAGCUAGUUGGUGAGGUAACGGCUCACCAAGGCAACGAUGCAUAGCCGACCUGAGAGGGUGAUCGGCCACACUGGGACUGAGACACGGCCCAGACUCCUACGGGAGGCAGCAGUAGGGAAUCUUCCGCAAUGGACGAAAGUCUGACGGAGCAACGCCGCGUGAGUGAUGAAGGCUUUCGGGUCGUAAAACUCUGUUGUUAGGGAAGAACAAGUACGAGAGUAACUGCUCGUACCUUGACGGUACCUAACCAGAAAGCCACGGCUAACUACGUGCCAGCAGCCGCGGUAAUACGUAGGUGGCAAGCGUUAUCCGGAAUUAUUGGGCGUAAAGCGCGCGCAGGCGGUUUCUUAAGUCUGAUGUGAAAGCCCACGGCUCAACCGUGGAGGGUCAUUGGAAACUGGGGAACUUGAGUGCAGAAGAGAAAAGCGGAAUUCCACGUGUAGCGGUGAAAU
rnacentral:rRNA from 1 species